CGAGAACCAUAACCUGUCAAGUCAAUGAAUGUGUCAUUGACUGUGAGGAUGGUAUUAUUGCUGUUCAACAUGCAAGUUAUGGACGGCAGGAUCGUAUCUGCCUUGAUUAACUCGGCAGCCACACCAGACUGUUACUUCCUUCAGACUAGUGGCCUGCGUUCCAGGUGUAAUGGAAAAUCAUCUUGUCAUAUAAAUGCUUCGUAUUUGUCCUUCACUGAUCAUCAUCACAUCGACAAUAAGUACAUAGAAGUGACAUUCUCCUGUGUAUGAAGCACACGUUGUCAAUUGGUGAGGAAACGUCUUUUGUAGAAGACCUAAAAACGGCCUGGAAGAGCAGAAGCGGCGCAUCUUUAGCAUUUCUAUUUUCUUGUGUUUAUUGUAAAAAUGCACUACACAAAUAAAUUGCAGUUGACUU